GAUGAACGCUGGCGGCGUGCCUAAUACAUGCAAGUCGAGCGAACAGACGAGGAUCUUGCUCCUCUGACGUUAACGGCGGACGUGUGAGUAACACGUGGAUAACCUACCUAUAAGACUGGGAUAACUUCGGGAAACCGGAGCUAAUACCGGAUAAUAUAUUGAACCGCAUGGUUCAAUAGUGAAAGACGGUUUUGCUGUCACUUAUAGAUGGAUCCGCGCCGCAGUAGCUAGUUGGUAAGGUAACGGCUUACCAAGGCAACGAUGCUUAGCCGACCUGAGAGGGUGAUCGGGCACACUGGAACUGAGACACGGUCCAGACUCCUACGGGAGGCAGCAGUAGGGAAUCUUCCGCAAUGGGCGAAAGCGUGACGGAGCAACGCCGCGUGAGUGAUGAAGGUCUUCGGAUCGUAAAACGCUGUUAUUAGGGAAGAACAAAUGUGUAAGUAACUAUGCACGUCUUGACGGUACCUAAUCAGAAAGCCACGGCUAACUACGUG
rnacentral:rRNA from 1 species